GACCUAGUGGCGAAGGCAUCGCACCUGCCUACAGUGGAAUGCCAGUGUCAUGUACCGGCAGGAGGCACUGGUUCGACUCCAGGCUAGGUCU